rnacentral:tRNA from 1 species
GAGGGUAUAGCUCGGUGGUAGAGCUCAUGUUUAGCAUGCACGAGGUCCUGGGUUCAAUCCCCAGUACCUCUG